GAGUUUGAUCAUGGCUCAGAUUGAACGCUGGCGGCAGGCCUAACACAUGCAAGUCGAACGGUAACAGGGAGCAGCUUGCUGCUCUGCUGACGAGUGGCGGACGGGUGAGUAAUGUCUGGGAAACUGCCUGAUGAGGGGGAUAACUACUGGAAACGGUAGCUAAUACCGCAUAACGUCUACGGACCAAAGUGGGGGACCUUCGGGCCUCAUGCCAUCAGAUGUGCCCAGAUGGGAUUAGCUAGUAGGUGGGGUAACGGCUCACCUAGGCGACGAUCCCUAGCUGGUCUGAGAGGAUGACCAGCCACACUGGAACUGAGACACGGUCCAGACUCCUACGGGAGGCAGCAGUGGGGAAUAUUGCACAAUGGGCGCAAGCCUGAUGCAGCCAUGCCGCGUGUAUGAAGAAGGCCUUCGGGUUGUAAAGUACUUUCAGCGGGGAGGAAGGUGCUGUGGUUAAUAACCACAGCAAUUGACGUUACCCGCAGAAGAAGCACCGGCUAACUCCGUGCCAGCAGCCGCGGUAAUACGGAGGGUGCAAGCGUUAAUCGGAAUUACUGGGCGUAAAGCGCACGCAGGCGGUUGAUUAAGUCAGAUGUGAAAUCCCCGGGCUCAACCUGGGAACUGCAUUUGAAACUGGUCAGCUUGAGUCUCGUAGAGGGGGGUAGAAUUCCAGGUGUAGCGGUGAAAUGCGUAGAGAUCUGGAGGAAUACCGGUGGCGAAGGCGGCCCCCUGGACGAAGACUGACGCUCAGGUGCGAAAGCGUGGGGAGCAAAACAGGAUUAGAUACCCUGGUAGUCCACGCCGUAAACGAUGUCGACUUGGAGGUUGUGCCCUUGAGGCGUGGCUUCCGGAGCUAACGCGUUAAAGUCGACCGCCUGGGGAGUACGGCCGCAAGGUUAAAACUCAAAUGAAUUGACG
rnacentral:rRNA from 1 species